UGCAGUCGAGCGGAUGAAGGGAGCUUGCUCCCUGAUUCAGCGGCGGACGGGUGAGUAAUGCCUAGGAAUCUGCCUGGUAGUGGGGGACAACGUCUCGAAAGGGACGCUAAUACCGCAUACGUCCUACGGGAGAAAGCAGGGGACCUUCGGGCCUUGCGCUAUCAGAUGAGCCUAGGUCGGAUUAGCUAGUUGGUGAGGUAAUGGCUCACCAAGGCGACGAUCCGUAACUGGUCUGAGAGGAUGAUCAGUCACACUGGAACUGAGACACGGUCCAGACUCCUACGGGAGGCAGCAGUGGGGAAUAUUGGACAAUGGGCGAAAGCCUGAUCCAGCCAUGCCGCGUGUGUGAAGAAGGUCUUCGGAUUGUAAAGCACUUUAAGUUGGGAGGAAGGGUUGUAGAUUAAUACUCUGCAAUUUUGACGUUACCGACAGAAUAAGCACCGGCUAACUCUGUGCCAGCAGCCGCGGUAAUACAGAGGGUGCAAGCGUUAAUCGGAAUUACUGGGCGUAAAGCGCGCGUAGGUGGUUUGUUAAGUUGGAUGUGAAAUCCCCGGGCUCAACCUGGGAACUGCAUCCAAAACUGGCCAGCUAGAGUAGGGCA
rnacentral:rRNA from 1 species